rnacentral:rRNA from 1 species
UACGGAGGGUGCAAGCGUUAUCCGGAUUUAUUGGGUUUAAAGGGUCCGUAGGCGGGCUCGUAAGUCAGUGGUGAAAUCUCAUAGCUUAACUAUGAAACUGCCAUUGAUACUGCGGGUCUUGAGUAAGGUAGAGGUAGCUGGAAUAAGUAGUGUAGCGGUGAAAUGCAUAGAUAUUACUUAGAACACCAAUUGCGAAGGCAGGUUACCAUGUCUUAACUGACGCUGAUGGACGAAAGCGUGGGGAGCGAACAGG